UCAUUAGAGAGUUUGAUCCUGGCUCAGGAUGAACGCUGGCGGCGUGCCUAACACAUUCAAGUCGAACGGAGUUAAUUUGGAAGCUUGCUUUCGAAUUAACUUAGUGGCGGACGGGUGAGUAAUGCAUGAGCAACCUGCCUUAAAGAGGGGGAUAACACGGUGAAAACCGUGCUAAUACCGCAUGUUUUAUGUUGAGGGC
rnacentral:rRNA from 1 species